rnacentral:rRNA from 1 species
AGGGUUUGAUUCUGGCUCAGGAUGAACGCUGGCGGCGUGCCUAACACAUGCAAGUCGAGCGAGAAAUCAUAAAAUGAAACUUCGGUAGAUUUUUAAGAUGGAAAGCGGCGGACGGGUGAGUAACGCGUAGGCAACCUGCCUUAUGCAGAGGGAUAGCCAUUGGAAACGAUGAUUAAAACCUCAUAACGCCGGAGAGUCACAUGGUUUUCCGGCCAAAGAUUUAUCGGCAUAAGAUGGGCCUGCGUCUGAUUAGUUAGUUGGUGGGGUAACGGCCUACCAAGGCGACGAUCAGUAGCCGACCUGAGAGGGUGAUCGGCCACAUUGGAACUGAGACACGGUCCAA